rnacentral:rRNA from 1 species
UGGGGAAUUUUGCACAAUGGGGGAAACCCGAUGCAGCGACGCCGCGUGAUUUAGAAGGCCUUCGGGUUGUAAAAAUCUUUUCUAUGGGAAGAAAAUGACAGUACCAUAGGAAUAAGGACCGGCUAAUUACGUGCCAGCAGCCGCGGUAAUACGUAAGGUCCGAGCGUUGUCCGGAAUCAUUGGGCGUAAAGGGUACGUAGGCGGGUAAGCAAGUUAGAAGUGAAAUCCUAUAGCUCAACUAUAGUAAGCUUUUAAAACUGCUCAUCUUGAGGUAUGGAAGGGAAAGUGGAAUUCCUAGUGUAGCGGUGAAAUGCGCAGAUAUUAGGAGGAAUACCGGUGGCGAAGGCGACUUUCUGGCCAUAACCUGACGCUGAGGUACGAAAGCGUGGGUAGCAAACAGG